UACGUAGGGACCAAGCGUUGUUCGGAUUUACUGGGCGUAAAGGGCGCGUAGGCGGCGUGACAAGUCACUUGUGAAAUCUCUGAGCUUAACUCAGAACGGCCAAGUGAAACUGUUGUGCUAGAGUGCAGAAGGGGCAAUCGGAAUUCUUGGUGUAGCGGUGAAAUGCGUAGAUAUCAGGAGGAACACCGGUGGCGAAGGCGGGUCUCUGGGCAGUAACUGACGCUGAGGAGCGAAAGCGUGGGGAGCGAACAGG
rnacentral:rRNA from 1 species